GAUGAACGCUGGCGGCGUGCCUAAUACAUGCAAGUCGAGCGAACAGAUGAGGAGCUUGCUCCUCUGACGUUAGCGGCGGGCGGGUGAGUAACACGUGGAUAACCUACCUAUAAGACUGGGAUAACUUCGGGAAACCGGAGCUAAUACCGUAUAAUAUAUUGCACCGCAUGGUUCAAUGGUGAAAGACGGUUUUGCUGGCACGUAUAGAUGGAUCUGCGCCGCAUUAGCUAGUUGGUACGUUAAAGGGUUACCAAGGGAACGAUGCGUAGACGACGGCAGAGAGGGGUAGGCCACACGGGAAGUGAGACACGGACCAGACGCCUAAGAGAGGCAGCAGUAGGGAACGUGCCGCAGUGGGCGAAAGCCUGACGGAGCAAGGCCGCGUGAGUGACGAAGGUCUUCGGAUCGUAAAGAUCGGUUAUUAGGGAAGAACAAAUGUGGAAGUAAAUAUGCACGUCUUGACGGUACCUAAUCAGAAAGCAACGGCUAACUACGUG
rnacentral:rRNA from 1 species